CCUACGGGCGGCUGCAGUCGAGAAUCUUCGGCAAUGGGCGCAAGCCUGACCGAGCGACGCCGCGUGCGGGAUGAAGGCCUUCGGGUUGUAAACCGCUGUCGAAGGGGAGGAAAUUGUAGUGGGUUCACCCAUUAUAUUGACCGAUCCUUGGAGGAAGGGCCGGCUAAUCUCGUGCCAGCAGCCGCGGUAAUACGAGAGGCCCAAACGUUAUUCGGAUUUACUGGGCUUAAAGAGUUCGUAGGCGGUCUGGUAAGUGGGGUGUGAAAUCCCUCGGC
rnacentral:rRNA from 1 species